GCGAGAAUCAUAACGUGUUUCUAAUUUGAUGACGUUUACGUUGUUACGCAGACGUUGCAAACGUAUCGACGCAGCAUUAUUGCGACAUAGUCUUGUUUCUCGAUUAAUCCCGGGAAUUCUAAAUUAUCGCCACGCUGCUUCGAUGAGUUGGCACCUUCUGUCCUUGUAUACAGUGUAAUCUAUUGCGCUAGGAGUUGUUUAUCGUGUUUAAUAUUGGGUUUACUAUUCGCGGUUAGGAUAAACGAUUCGAAUUGAAGGUAUUAAUUGGGGUUUAAAAUCAACGGUUUAUACUGGAGUUGUAAUAUAAUGUAGGGAUACAGGUUAGGGUUGUAUUAUAGUCCAAAUAGAAUGAUAAUUGUUGUUCUUUAUAUUUAGUCACAUAAGUUAAGUUGUAUUUACUUUGGAUUAUAAAUUUGUUGAAUUGAGUUGCCUGGAGAUCCUAAACAUUCGAAAACCGUUCCAUUAACAACGUUCCAUUAACAACGUUCCUUUACGUUCCUCAUACCCGGUAUCAAGAUUUACGUUACGUUCCAUUAACAACGUUCCGUUUCCGGUACCCGGCAAGUUCUAUUUUCCUGAUUCAUGUUCGAGAUUUGAUUUGAAGUGUCUGUUGAUUGUUAUUAAAGAUAUUCACCGAUUUCAA